CACGUAGGGGCCAAGCGUUGUCCGGAUUUAUUGGGCGUAAAGAGCUCGUAGGCGGUUCGACAAGUCGGGUGUGAAAACUCCGGGCUCAACCCGGAGACGCCACCCGAUACUGUCGUGACUGGAGUCCGGUAGGGGAGUGGGGAAUUCCUGGUGUAGCGGUGAAAUGAGCAGAUAUCAGGAGGAACACCGGUGGCGAAGGCGCCACUCUGGGCCGGUACUGACGCUGAGGAGCGAAAGCGUGGGUAGCAAACAGG
rnacentral:rRNA from 1 species